AUGAUCCAGAUAUUUUCGAGGAUAGCAGCAAGAAGCCCUCGCCGCGCCACCUCCGCAUCGCGUCCGAGUAGCUCGAAGCAUCAUCCGGGGCAAUUCUCUCGUUGUAGCCCAGCUUACCGAGGUAUUACUACCAUUAGCACCAGCAAUCCAAUGAGGUCUGGUGAUGGAAAUUCGGAAGGCCAGGACGCACCCCUCGCCGAGGGGAAGGACCGCGGCUGCUCCCCAGGUGUCCAGUCCACCCCGGACAUCGAGAAGAAGUACGUGCACCGCGUCUACGACGCCAUAGCCCCUCACUUCAGCUCCACGCGGUUCGCCAAGUGGCCCAAGGUCGCGGGGUUCCUGAACUCGCUGAGGCCAGGGUCUGUCGUGCUGGAUGCCGGCUGCGGCAACGGCAAGUACCUGGGCUUCAAUCCCGAAUGCUUCUACAUAGGCUGCGAUAUAAGCCCGCCGCUUAUAGAGAUAUGCGCGGGGAGGGGGCACGAGGUGUUUGUCGCUGAUGUCGUCAACCUCCCGUACAGGGAAAGUGUUGCUGACGCCGCGAUUUCGAUUGCGGUGUUGCAUCAUCUGAGUACCGAGGACAGGCGGAGGAAAGCCAUAGAGGAGUUGAUCCGUGUUGUCAAGAGGGGGGGUCUUGUGCUGAUCACUGUCUGGGCUGUGGAGCAGGAAGACAAGUUGCUUCUUAACAAGUGGACUCCCUUGUGCGACAAGUAUAAUGAAGAGUGGGUUGAUCCCAGCAGUCCCAUGGUGCGUAACAAAUCUGCUACUACGCUAGAUAGCAUUGAAGAGACUGAUGAAGACAUGCGCGCCAUCAAGCAAACAGAUGAUCAGCUGAAAAAUAGUUUUGAUGGUUUGGAGGAUAAGACCUUAAUUAUGGAUGAGCAUGACAAAACCCAGCAGGAGUACUUUGUUCCUUGGCAUCUACCAUUUCACCGAGCAGAAAUUGGCGGCGCAUCUGCUGUUGCUCUACAGAAUGGAUUGGCAAAGAAAGAUGAUAAGAAGGGCACUGUGGUCUACAACCGUUAUUAUCACAUUUUUGUCGAAGGAGAACUUCAAAGGCUAGUUGCUGGCAUGAAAAAUGCAGCCAUCACCGACCAAUUCUACGACAAAUCGAACUGGUGCAUAGUUCUGGAGAAGCUUUGA
rnacentral:rRNA from 1 species